GUAUAUAGCUGUAUGCUGCUUGUCCACCUAUAUGUGACCCAGUUUAUUAUGUGUGUAUGUAUGUGUGUAUAGUGCAUGUACUGUAUAAAUAGUGUGGUAUUAUGGUGAUGUUUUUAUAUAUAAAUGUGUAUACUAUAUACAGCAUAGCUGCAUGGGUGGCAUGGCAUGGUUGGUUCGAUCCCCGCUCAGUCAGUGUGAAGUUUGCAUGUUCUCCCCCUGUCUGCGUGGGUUUCCUCCCACAGUCCAAAGACAUGCUGUUCUUUAGGUUCACCCACAGAGUGUGAGUGAAAGAGACAGUGUGUUCCGCUGAUGUAUGGAUGAGUGACCCAGUGUAAGUAGUGUAAGUCACCUUGACGAAUAAGGUGUGCGGGCUCAUAACACUACAUAGAGUUAAUUGGAAGUCGCGUUGGAAAAAAGCAUCUGCUAAAUAAAUAAGUGUAAAUAUACAGUAUGCAGGUGAAAUUCAGUGAGUGGGGGACAUUUCAGUAGUUAACUUACAUAUGAUCAUAUGAUACAAUAUGUGUAGCUCGUUCUGACACAGAGGAGUGCUGGUACUCUAAUGAGUGUAAACACAUGUGGAAGUGAAGGAUUCAACUUCAAGGAAGCGCUGCAUGAGCGCCGAGGUUCCGCGGUCCACGUGGAGCAUCAGGUGACCAGAUCGCGGUCCGGCCGCUGCUCGGACCCUCCUGGGCUCCACUUCGGUGCCGGGACCUCGCUCGAAGGACUUCGCAGGAACUCCGUGGGAUCUUGGGAGCCUUCCACACACAGUUGUGCUACAAACAUCUGCCACCAGGGGGCGUCUCAACUUACAGGAAUUUUCGCUCCACCACAGCUGAGUAUCUCCAGUAAAAUUUACUCUAAGGCUAAGCCUUUUUAGAUUAGUGAAAUGAGAUUACAUGGAAAGAAUUGCUACAAUCCUUUUCUGAUUAACAGAAAAAUGAAACAGUUUUGCUGCGCUUUCUGCCCCAUGAUACCCCAAAGCAUCUAUAGGUGUACUGAACACAAUUGUACACCUUUGGUUUGUUAUUCCACUUUGAAAGUGUAUAAAAUGGUUUUAUGAAUAGAAUAACUGGAAAAGGAACAAGGAUCAUGCAUCAGGCAGAGGAUGGAUCAAGUAGUGUAAUUAAGAGCCGGGGCUUUGUUUUCCAUGCAGGAUGUAAGGUGGCUGUGUGUUGACCAAGAUAGUAA
rnacentral:lncRNA from 1 species